rnacentral:rRNA from 1 species
AUAUCAGUAAGCGGAGGAAAAGAAACUAACAAGGAUUCCCCUAGUAGCGGCGAGUGAAGCGGGAACAGCUCAAAUUUAAAAUCUGGCGCCCCUGUGGGUGUCCGAGUUGUCAUUGAGAGGGUCUUCUUUGGAAGACGUUGUGGGUCAAAGUUCCCUGGAAAGGGACAACAAAGAGGGUGACAUUCCCGUUUGGAUCCAUGGCGUGGACCGUCAAGAAGGAGGCUCCAAGAGUCGGAUUGUUUGGGAAUGCAGUCCAAAAUGGGUGGUACAUGUCAUCUAAAGCUAAAUAUUGGCAAGAGACCGAUAGCGCACAAGUA